AACGCACACUGCGCCCGCCAGCAUUCUGGCGGGCAUGCCUGUUCGAGCGUCAUUUCAACCAUCAAGCCCCGGGCUUGUGUUGGGGACCUGCGGCUGCCCGCAGGCCCCGAAAUGCAGUGGCGGGCUCGCUGUCACACCGAGCGUAGUAGCAUACACCUCGCUCAGGGCGUGCCGCGUGCUUCCCGGCCGUUAAACCGCGCACCGACGCACCAAGGUUGACCUCGGAUCAGGUAGGAAGACCCGCUGAACUUAA
rnacentral:misc_RNA from 1 species